rnacentral:pre_miRNA from 1 species
AUUGUACUCCCUCCGUCUAGAAAUACUUGUCGAAGAAAUGCAUAAAAAUGAAUGUAUCUAGAACUAAAAUACAUCUAGAUACAUCCAUUCCUCCGACGAGUAUUUCCGGACGGAGGAAGUAACAU